AAUAUUCUUUUCUAAGAACACCCUAUGAAAUAUAUGGUGUUCGCAUGGGUCGACAGAAGAUAUGAAGACACGGGUACUUUAGAAGGAAUAGAUCGAUUGAUCAAUCAUUUUUGCAUUACUCUUUAAUUCUAGUCGCCCUCCAAGGGCAAAUCUACAUUGACACUAUGAUGUGACUUCAAGACAACAAAACACAUUCCACCAUUGUGAGCUGCAGUGCCGAUUAAAGGGCACGAAUGACAGUCGCAGGAAAGUCCAAGUUAAGGUCUUCAGUGCAUUGCAGAUGAUCCAAAUAUAUUCUAGAUUGGCUCCACAGAAUGGAGUGUGGAGUGCAUUGUAGAUACCUGCCCUUUGCUGAAGUGGUUUAUAGAAUUCAGAACUUAGGAUGAGAGGGCUACUGAAAAAUGUCCAAAGGCAUGGCUGGCUAGCAGAAGGCUAUUGGGUUCCCUGAGAGGGAUAAUUGAUUACCUCCAUUGCUAACUGUCACUUUCCCCCUUUUCCCCUCCACAUAUUUCUCUGGUGCGCUGAAUUUGGAGGGGACCCACAGAGUGGUUUGAGACCAGGUUCUAUGAUUAAUGUAAUCACCUUCCUGGCCAAAACCCAAUUCCAGACAUGUUAGUCUAAUACUGUGCAGUGAAACAGGUUCCUCCCAAACUGGUCCAGGCUGCAUUUUAGUGUCAGCAUAGAAGGAUCUCCAGUGAUUUACAAGUAUUCGAGGUAACAAAGCCUCUACCUCCAGGCCCUUAUUUGUGUGUGUGUGUGUGUGUGUGUGUGUGUGUGUGUGUUAGGAUAGACUUGAGAAACUGCAAGUCCCUUCUGGUGUGAGAGAAUUGAACAUCUGCAAGGAUGUUGCCCAGAGGACACCUGGAUGUUUUGAUGUUUUUACCAUCCUUGUGGGAGGCUUCUCUCAUGUCCCCGCAUGGAGCUGGAGCUGAUAGAGGGAGCUCAUCUGCACUCUUGCCGGGUUGGAUUCGAACCAGCAAUCUUCAGGUCAGCAACCCAACCUUCAAGUCAUCAGUCCUGCCAGCACAAGGGUUUAACCCACUGCAUCACCAGGGGCUCCAGGCCUUUAGUAUAAGGCAAAAGAAGAAAUGGAUGGGAAAGGAAGACAAAAAAGUGAAUUUGGUACCAUCAGGGAUGUGCAACUUAGAUGGCCAAAGGACCAAAGUUUCAUUCCUGUUACUGGACUUGGAAAUGGCAAUAAAAACAAAAUUGGAAGUGACUGGAAAUUCAUUUGUGAUGAGUUCUGAAAUAAGUGGAAUUAAAUAACUCCUAAACCUUCAAGGCUGUUAACGAACAGCCACAGCUAUGAGUGGGAAAGGUCCAAAGUUCCAAAUCAACUCAGUACAAGACAUUAAUAAGUAAACACAGCAACCUAAGUUACAAAGGGUGAAAGAUUAAUUUGAAAGUGAAAAGCACGGCGUGAAAUUCUUACUCUAAACUGCAUGAACUUUUCCACAGAACAUAAAAUAGCCAAGAAUGACAAUGAAAGAUUUGUAAUGUCUGGUGAUUUUAAGAAGUAUGUGGAGAAAAUUAAAGAAAUAUAAUAUAGUGCUGAUGCCUUCGGUCAAUCUUGUACAAUGGAAUUACUGCAGUAUUUGCGCUCCAUACUCAACAACUGGCUUCCAGCUGUGCAGGAAUGUUCUACUGUACCAUAGCCUGAUGGGACCUCAGGUGACCCAACCCAAAGGUAGUCCAUGCUGGAUCCUGGGAUACAGCAAUGCACAUAUAACCCCACCUUUCAAUUAUUCCUACACUGUACUUGAAACAAAUACAUCACAAAUAUCCACUGCCUCUUAAAAUAUGGAACACACACUUCAUACAGUAUGGUCUUCAUAUUCUUGACGGUUCUCUCAACAAUACUAGGAUUUUAUUUAUCUUUCAUGUUACAGGGUAUAGGUUUUGUUUACACCAUGAGAAUUCUGAUCUAUACAUACAGUCGAGUCUCACUUAUCCAACAUAAACGGGCCGGCAGAAUGUUGGAUAAGCGAAUAUGUUGGAUAAUAAGGAGGCAUUAAGGAAAAGCCUAUUAAACAUCAAAUUAGGUUAUGAUUUUACAAAUGAAGCACCAAAACAUCAUGUUAGACAACAAAUUUGGUAGAAAAAGUAGUUCAAUACGCAGUAAUGCUAUGUAGUAAUUACUGUAUUUAUGAAUUUAGCACCAAAAUAUCACGAUAUAUUGAAAACAUUGACUACAAAAAUGCGUUGGAUAAUCCAGAACGUUGGAUAAGCAAGUGUUGGAUAAGUGAGACUCUACUGUAGUAGUUAGAGUAUAUUGUAGACUUUUUGUAUUUCUGGACACCAGUGAGAAUUCCAAGCUAACCCCAAUCCUAAGAAAUUUCAAUUUUGUUGUCAAAGGCUUUCACGACUGGGGUGCUGUGUGGUUUCCAGGCUGUAUGGCCGUGUUCUAGCAGCAUUUAUCCUGACAUUUCGCCUGCAUCUGUGGCUGGCAUCUAAAGAAACAUCAGGAGAAAAUGCUGUUAGAAUACGGCCAUACCACCCAAAAACCACACAACAUCCAAUUUCAAUUUUUCUGACUAAGACUAAUCUACUUGUCAAGAAGAUAUAUCACUUCUGUUAUGCCCCAUCACUGUUCACCAAAAAUGCUGCAGGAUAUAAUUUUAUGCCAAUGUGACAAAAGGACAAAAUGUCCCCUGAUGACAUGAGUCAAUCGAUUCUUCAGGGGAAUUACUGUCCAAAUUACUUUCGGCUGCGGGGUGGGGAGAGAACUAUGCAGUUGAAAUUUGGGGCCUUGUUUACAACUGUUCGUAUGACAACGAUCCAAAAUAUCUUUUUUUUCUGGGCUAGUUCUGUGUGGAUUCCCCAUAACAGAUGGCUUUGAGGGUCUAAAAUGUCUCUUGAGGAUUUAAGCAGCUCCAUGUGAAGUACAUGCCAGUAAUUCAGUCUGGAUGUGACCAGAGCACAGAUGGCGUGAUCCAUGACAUAUUGUUUUGGGUCGCUUUAAGGAUCCUUGGGAAUCCUGGAUGUUGGCUAUUUAAAAACUGUAUUGCUGAAGUCUUUCGUUGGGAUUACAAUGAGUAUUUUUAAAUGACCAAAGAUCUCAAUGGAUCAUUAAAAAAUCAAGGGACUGGCAUCCUUUCUUCUUCUCAAAGAGCGCCCUCUGCUGCCCAGUGUCCUUCAUUAAAAACUACAGCAGAGGCAAAUGAAUGAAAGGAAUCAUUCUGGCAUCACUUAUAAUACAAAGUCCAGUGUUUUUUAAAACUAACUUUCAAACAUUGACUUUAAUGAUCAUUGGUUUCAGUCCUGAAAUCUCUAUAUAUCUGGACAAAUCAAGUUUAAUUGAAAAUAAAAUGCUGGAUAAUGCAAACAGACCAAUGGAUUGUAUAUCGUAUAUAUCGAAGCUUAAUAUAAGGAAUGCAUAUAUUGUUUUGAAUACACAUUAUAUCUAAUUAGACUAGACCCAUUUAGUCAAUGGGAACUUGGAAAGUCAGUACUUUAAGAAGAUACUCUCUAUUCAGUAGAUCUCCUUUAGUUAAUAGGUAAAGGUUUUCCCCUGACAUUAAGUCUGGUUGUGUCUGAUUCUGGAUGUUGGUGCUCAUCUCCAUUUCUAAGCCAAAGAGCCGGCCUUGUCCGUAGACACCUCCAAGGCCAUGUGGCCGGCAUGAUUGCAUGGAGUGACAUUACCUUCCUGCCGGAGCGGUACCUAUCAAUCUACUCACGUUUACAUGUUUUUGGGCUGCAAGGUAGCAGAAGCUGGGGCUAACAGCAGGAGCUCACCCCACUCCCCAGAUUUGAACCGCCAACCUUUCAGUCAGCAAGUUCAAUAGUUCAGCUGUUUAAUCCGCUGUGCCACCGGGGGCUCCUCCUUUAGUUAAUACCCUGACAAGGUCUUAUAUUAAUUUUUGUUGCAAAAGAUUCAUUAGGGACUAUGUAUAGCUGCCUGGACACUAUUUAAAUGGACUUUUUAAUGAACUUUAACUAGGUCUUAUUAUUUGAAGUAGGGCUUAUAUUUUAAGCAUCCUCCAAAAUCCUGAAAAAUCGUGCUAAUGCUUAUUUUCAGGGUAGGUCUUAUUUUUGGGGAAACAGGAUAACAACAAUUAAAUUAGGAUGACUCAUUCUAGUUUACAAAGAAAGUUUAGACAGAUGAACCCUGUGUUAAGGAUUUGAACACUGGUUAUUAUAAUACGAGCAAGGUGGGAAUCACAAUGAAUAAGUCUUGCAUUUUACAAAUAGCAAAUUCAGCUUUACUUUGUUGCAGCAUGUUGGACGAUGACUUUUAAAACUAAAGUUUGAAUUUCUGCUCAGCCAUGAGUGGCCUUCCUCAAGUCACAUACUCUCAGCCUUAUUAAACCCUGUGCUGGGUUCCUCUUAGGGCAGUCAUAAGUCAGAAAUGCCUUGAAGACACUCAAUAACAGCAAUUAAUAGAAGUCAUCUCUUCAAGUUUUUUUAUUUGUUUAUGGACAUGUAGGUAGGUAAAAGAAGUGAGCUAUUGAAGACCAAGGUUGAAAGUAUGGGAAGGAACAGCUGGGUUGCUUUUGUUCAAACUGGAUAUUUCUAAGGUCCAAUUAAUUAUCAGUACCUCUAUUCUUCCAGGGAAAAAUACAGUCAUCAAUCAGUGGGAACAAAGAUAAAGAAUCUAGACAUUUAAUUCUUUUUCCCUCUGACAUCAAGCGACAAGAGCGUGUUGAGAAAGUAUUUUUAUUUGCGUUACGAAUCUUUCCAGCUCAGAUUUAGAUCAAUGUAAUGGGGGAUUAGACAAAUUUAGGGAGGAUAACACUACAGCAGCAGCAGCAGCAGCAGCUAUUAUAAGUGUGUGUGUGUGUGUGUUUCCUCUAAAAUUAGAGACAGUGUGGCUUUUAGAAUGCCAAUGACUGGUGAGCAAUAGCAGAAGAGAAUUACUGCUUCAUAUCCUGCUUCUUGGCUUCUUUAUAGUCAUGCAGUUGUGGAUACAGGAUUCUGGACUUGGAUAAAUAAUCUUCAAAAGGUCUCAUCUUUUAGGUCUCUGCGUUCAAACAAAACAAAUGAACACACUGUAGAAAACAUUGCUUACAUAUCUUUAGGUGGAAAGACAUUCUCUGGGGUAAUUAAAUACGCCAAAGGCGUCAUAGUCUUCUACAACUGUCUGCCAUUAGUUUUAGAAGCCAGUUUACAUCAGAAGCAGUACAGUACAGUAUGCAGUUGGUAGUAUCAGUAUGCUGCAGUGAGUAGUCAGUCUGUAUUGAGUCAAUGUUCAGUAAUGUAUUAGGCCAGUGGUUCUCACCCUGUGGUCCCCAGGUGUUCUGGCCCACAAGUCCCAGAAAUCCCAGCCAUUUUACCAGCUGUUAGGAUUUCUUGGAGUUGAAGGCCAAAACAUCUGGGGACCCACAGAUUGAGAACCACUGUAUUAGACUGAAGAGAGUAUUGGUCUGUAUGCAACAAAGAGACUGAAACAAAAUUCUUUUGAGAAUUUACUGUUUAAACUCUCAACCAAUAAGAAAUGUACCUUGUAUGCUGGAUACAUGAAGUUUGUAAGUAAAUCAACCAUGUUACUUUUGAUGAAGACUACCUAUUUUUGGUCUCUUGAGAGAAUGAUUUAAAAGCAAUAUAUUUUAUGGGAGAGUAGAUAUUUUGGGGCAAUUGAAACAACACUUCUGAAGAUCUGCUAUAUAUUUUGUGCACUGGCAUAUCUUUGUUCCUAACAGUUCAGAGCGAUAACCAAGUACACCAGUCUAACAACUGAAAAACCUGAUUUGCCUUGCAUGAAUACUAGUGGAUAUUUACCACUAAGGAGAAGAUUCACCGAAAUGAGUAUUUAACGCUUCUCAGGAAGAUCAUACUUUACAAAAAGGUUAUGAUUAUUCCAAAUAGUGUGAAUGCCAAUUAAUCUCCAAAAGGGUCACACUUCCAAAAGACUAUGGAGAUUCCUGGUUUAACCAAAAGGUUAUGGUCUCUAAAAGAUCAUGUCUUUCCAAAAAAAAACAUUAUCUGGUGAUUCUUUUUUCCUGCUGUGAAUUUCAUUGCUGAAAGCAUUGACAGGGCCCUCCAAGCUCUAACAAGCAAUGGCAGGACGAAUUGAAAUCUAACAACAUUUAGAGGGCCAUAAUUUUUCUCAUGAUAAAACAUAAAGGAAUUUUGUGUUUAAACUCCCAUCUCCAAGAUAUCUUGUUGUGUAUGUGUAUGCAAUACAGGUGUUUCAAAAUCUUUGCCCGAUUUUGAAUGAUCAAUCUACCUAACUUUGCCCUCUUCAGGACAUAGCUGGCUUCGAUCCAUUUUCCAUGAAAUGUAGUAUUCAACAAAUUUUUAUGAAGGAUAGAUGUUACUAGUCCAACUGUUAAGUCAAACCAUCAAUAUCACCCAGGCAACAAUGGGUAAAUAUGCUAUGCUGUAUUCAUUCGUUUAUUUUUAUAUACACCUAAAGUAACCUUGUGUUGAUCCUGCUAAAAAACGUGAGAGUAGCGAAUAUGAAUAUGAAUGGUUAACACCCCUGUGGGGUUUGUCUUGCUGCCUGUGCUCCUGUUCAGAUGAUUUCACCUGACUUUCUAUCCCUGUGAUAGUUGGAUUUUGAAAAAAUUGACUUGUUAUGGAAACAAGGAUUGGUGAGAAAGCUUCAGUUGACACCUUUUUCCCAUGAUAACUCUUUCAGGAGUGAAUUUCCCUUCCUAGGGGUAGAUUUCUCUAUCUGUUGUCUCACCCCUAUUCUUGACUAUGGGUUGCUUGUAAGUCGAAUGUUUGUAACUCAUGGACUCCUCUACUUUAAAAGGUACUGGUUUCCUUGACUUAAUCAGUUUGCAAUGUGGUCUUCCAUUAAAAUGUGUCUCAUUAAAAGAGAAAAAGUGUCACAUACAUAAAUAUGAUCAUAAUAAUAUACUGUAAUAUAAUAAUAUAAUAUAAUAAUAUUUAUUUAUACGCCACUUUUUCUCUUUUAAUGAGACACAAAGUGGUUAAGAGAGAGCUUUCACAGUAGCUUUUCCUGUGUUAUGGAACUCCUCCCCAAAGGAAGCUCAGCUGGCCUCCUCUCUGCUUUCUUCUAAUCAGCCUUAUUAAAGUAGGCCUCCAGCCUAUUUUAAGUUAAAAUAGCAUUGAACUAUCAACUCAAUUGUAAUGUUAAUUUCAAACAAUGCCAAACCAGAAUGUUCUACUUGUUGGGGUAGAAAAAUAAUCUAUGAAUGUUCUGUUUUUUCUUUAAUAUGUAAUACAGUGAUACCUUGACUUAAGUAUUUAAUUUGUUUCAUGACUGUGCUCUUAAGUCAAAAUGUUCUUCUCUCAAAACGAAUCUUCCCAUUGAAAUGCACUGAUACCCCCCAUUUUUGUUAUGUGUUUUAAAUAAAAAUGUACUUUAUAAAUAACAAAUAAUGUAUAAAUGCACAUUCACAUGCAACAGUAACAAAGAAAGGUCAACUUUAACAUGGUUGAAGCACAAAGUUGUGGCAAGAAACCACAUUUGAGACAACAAGAUACAUGUUAGCCAAUGUAACAGAAGGAAAACAGCAUCACUGUCUUCAUACUGUACAGUACAGUACUAAUUCCAGCCUCUCUCCCUCCUUUUCUUGCUCUCUCUUCCUUUCUCUCUUCUUGAACUGAAACACACCAGAGAUAAAAAGCACACAAAAUGAACUAACACAAACUUCCUCAAAUUAGACAGCAAUCUCUGAGAGCAGAGAAGGGGCAAGCAGGCAGCAAUCUCCUAAAGCGGAGAAGAGCAUGUGGCAAGCAGGCAAAGGCACGCAGGCAGAGGCACUGAGACACAAGGAACGGAGGCUGCCCACUUCAAGCCCAGUAUUCUCGGAAGAGGACUCCCUCUUGUGGCGCUUCCAGCACUCACGCUCCAUUUAGCACAAGGGCUCUGGAGCAAUCACUCCAUCUGGCACGAGCACUUUCUCUGGCGCUCUCAUGCAUGCUCCUUUUUGGCAGCAUUAAGGACUUUGGCACUCACGCAAGUGCUCUAUCUGGUACUCCACCUGGCAUGAGUGCUCCAUAUGGCACUGUUUGUAAGUCAAAACAGGAUUUGGAUCUCAAAGUGAAACCUAGACCAAGCGAUGGCUCGUUGGUCAAAACAUACGUAUGUUGGGACAUUGGUAAGUCGAAGUUCCACUGUAUAUGCUUAAUGUGUCUGGGAUUAUAACUGAGUUGCUAGUUUGAUGCUAUUAUAACCUUUGUAUCUUUUUUUUUAACCUUAUACAAGUUGAGUAUCCUUUAUCCAAAAUGUUUGAAAGCAGAGAUGUUUUGGAAUUGGGAUUUUUUGGAUUUUGAAAUAUUUGCAUGUACAUAACAAUAGCCCCGGUGGCAAAGUGUGUUAAAGCACUGAGCUGGAGACUGAAAGGUCCCAUGUUCAAACCCUGGGAGUGGCGGGAGCGGCCGCUGUUAGCUCCAGAUCAUGCCAACCUAGCAGUUCGAAAACAUGCAAAUGUGAGUAGAUCAAUAGGUACUGCUCCGGCGGGAAGGUAACGGCGCUCCAUGCAGUCAUGUCGGCCACAUGACAUUGGAGGGGUCUACGGACAACGCCGGCUCUUUGGCUUAGAAAUGGAGAUGAGCACCAACCCCCAGAGUCGGUCACGACUGGACUUAACGUCAGGGGAAACCUUUACCUUUACCUUUAUAUAACAAGAUAUCCUAAAGAUAGGACUAAACAUGAAAUUUAUUUAUGCUUCAUAUAUUCCUUAUACACAUAGCCUGAAGGCAAUUUUAUGCACAAUGUUUUAAAUAGUUAUUGCAUGAAACAUAGUUUGCGUACAUAGAACCAUCAGAAAGCAGAGGCGUCACUAUCUCAGCCAUCUAUGUGGACAAUUUUGGAACAUUUUGAAUCUCUGGAUAAGGGAUUGUAAGGCACUUUGGAUCUCAUAUUGGGGAAAAGGUGCAAUAUAAGUCAAAUCAAAUCAAAACAAGUAAAGGGAGCAACGCUUUCCAGUUUGCAAAAUCCAUCUUGCAGAACUCUAAAACAUAUUGCUGAAGGUGCAUCUGCACUGUAGAAUUAAUGCAGUUUGACACCAUUCUAACUGCAGUGGAAUCCUAGGAGUUGUAGAUGACAAGGUCUUCACCCUUCUCUGCCAAAGAGUGCUGGUGCUUCACCAAACUACAAGCCCCAGGAUUCCACAGCAUUGAGCCAUGACAUUUAGGCUGGAUCUACACUGCCAUAUAAUUCAGUUUCUGAAUCCAGAUUAUCUGCUUUUAACUGGAUUAUAUGAGUCUACGUUGCUAUAUAAUCCAGUUCAAAGCAGAUAAUCUAGAUCCAGAAACUAGAUUAUAUAGCAGUGUAGACAGGACCUUAAAGUGAUGUCAAACUGCAUCAGUUCUACAGUCUGGAUACACCUUUACUCACAUCUUUCAUCCCAUUCUUGGUGCAUGCAUUGUUUUAAAAUGUUUUAAAUUAUUUUCACUACUUGUAGAGUUUGGGCUUGUAACUUGUCAAAAGUGUUUAGUACAAUUGUUAAAUGUAUAUAACUAUAUAUAUACAGUAGAGUCUCGCUUAUCCUGCAUUCAUUUAUCUAAUUUUCUGGAUUAUCCAAUGCAGUCUGCCUCCUGCCCGGAUCCACAGCUGUUUCGCUAGGCAGCAAGGAGUGAACUUUUUACGCAUUUAAUUUCCAACAAUGUUGUUACUAUACGUUCAUUUUAUGCAAUUCUUUAUUUGUAUUCAAAUUCUUAGCAGCCAAUGUUUUUGUAGCCAAUGUUUUCAAUACACCGAUGUUUUGGUGCUAAAUUCGUAAAUACAGUAAUUUACAUAACGUUACUGUGUAUUGAACUGCUUUUUCUAUCAAUUUGUUUUUAAAACAUGAUGUUUUGGUGCUUAAUUUGUAAAAUCAUAACGUAGUUUAAUAGGCUUUUCCUUAACCCCACCUUAUUAUCCAAUAUUUUCACUUAUCCAAAGUUCUGCCAGCCAGUUUAUGUUGGAUAAGUGAGACUCUACUGUAUAUCCAUCCUUAUAACAUGUAUUCUGAUAUACAGUAUCUGCAGCUAAUAUUUUUUCAUGUUGUAACAGAGACAUGUGUGUUCACCUGAUGGGCACUAGAGGGCUUAGCUGCAUUUCUGGAAAAAUGUUUUAGUGGUUGGUCUGCAGAUGAUUACAAUGUCUGAUCAACAGCAGAAAACCUGCAAAAUAAGGAAGGUGACAUCUUCUGUUAAACCACCUCCUGCCCCAUUAUAAUGUACUUUUAAGUAACAGAGAAAAUAUACCCUUCCUUCUAGCAGUCAAAAAUUCAGAGAAGCCCUAGUCAAAACAGAGGCCCCUUCUACACUGUCAUAUAAUCCAGGUUGUCUGCUUUGAACUGGAUUAUAUGGCAGUGUACACUCGUAUAAUCCAAUUCAAAGAAAAUAAUCUGGAUUAUCUGCUUUGAUAAUAUGGAUUAUAUGGAAGUGUAGAUCCAGCCUAAAUUUGUCUUUAUUUGGCUUUAAUUACUGUGUGCCAAGUCAAGGUAGAGUUUAUGGUAUUGAAUAGUAUUGUAUUAGGCCUAUUUUUAAUAAUAAUGCUCAAGCAAGCUGGAAACUACAUUUGCCCGGCAUUUACCAAUCCCCGUGGGUACUGGUUAACAUAGGCCCCUUCUACACUGCUAUAUAAUCCAGAUUAUCAAAGCAGAUAACCCACAUUAUCUGGCUUGAACUGGAUUAUAUGAGUCUACACUGACAUACAUUCCAGUUCAAAACAGAUAACAUGGAUUGUAUAUGGCAGUAGAUUGUGCCUAGGCCAUAAAUGAAAUAAAUAAUCUUUUCUUGACCCUUUGGGCUUCUACGCAAACUGCUUAUCAAUGAAAGAAAGAAAGCUCUAUAAACUUCAUGGGCUGGAGCUGAGUUGUUUUUGGUGGUUCCCUUUUCAUAUCUCUAUCUCACUCCUUGUUUUCUUUUGUGUACAUGCUGCCAUAUAAAAUCCAUAUUAUCUGUUUUGAACUGGAUUGUUCCAAUAGAUAUCAAAAUCCAAUGAAAGCGAAGAAAUGGAGAUGUUAAGAUGAAUAACCUGCUUGUAUAAACUCUGCACACUGGCUUUAUCUUUUCUGGAACUGCAAACAAGAAAGUAUGACAGAUCUAAAAAUGGGGAACUAUAAUGAGGAAACUGCUUACUAAAUGAGUAUUUUUGCUUAUCUUGUUUAUUGCCAGCUGGAUGCUGUUACCAGCUGGGUGCUGUACUUUUCUCAGGGAUAUGUUUUUAAAUGGUUUUUAAUUGGUUUAAAUUGGCUAUUAAAUGUUGUUUUAAUAUUUGAUUUUGUUUUAACUGAAUCCUUUUAUUUAAUAUCACUAUGCACUGCCCUGAGUACUAUCUUUGGGAGAAAAUAUUAUCAAAUAAAUAUCUAAAUAAAUGUUUGUAUGUUUUUGG